AACGAACGCUGGCGGCAUGCCUAACACAUGCAAGUCGAACGAGACCUCCGGGUCUAGUGGCGCACGGGUGCGUAACGCGUGGGAACCUGCCCUUAGGUUCGGAAUAACUCCCCGAAAGGGGUGCUAAUACCGGAUAAUGUCUUCGGACCAAAGAUUUAUCGCCUUUGGAUGGGCCCGCGUUGGAUUAGCUAGUUGGUAGGGUAAAAGCCUACCAAGGCGACGAUACAUAGCUGGUCUGAGAGGAUGAUCAGCCACCCUGGGACUGAGACACGGCCCAGACUCCUACGGGAGGCAGGAGUGGGGAAUAUUGGACAACGGGCGAAAGCCUGAUCCAGCACUGCCGCGUGAGUGCUGAAGGCCUUAGGGUUGUAAAGCUCUUUUACCCGGGAUGAUAAUGACGGUACCGGGAGAAUAAGCACCGGCUAACUCCGUG
rnacentral:rRNA from 1 species